UAGCUAAUCCUGGUCGGACAUCAGGAGGUUAGUGCAAUGGCAUAAGCUAGCUUGACUGCGAGCGUGACGGCGCGAGCAGGUGCGAAAGCAGGUCAUAGUGAUCCGGUGGUUCUGAAUGGAAGGGCCAUCGCUCAACGGAUAAAAGGUACUCCGGGGAUAACAGGCUGAUACCGCCCAAGAGUUCAUAUCGACGGCGGUGUUUGGCACCUCGAUGUCGGCUCAUCACAUCCUGGGGCUGAAGUAGGUCCCAAGGGUAUGGCUGUUCGCCAUUUAAAGUGGUACGCGAGCUGGGUUUAGAACGUCGUGAGACAGUUCGGUCCCUAUCUGCCGUGGGCGCUGGAGAAUUGAGGGGGGCUGCUCCUAGUACGAGAGGACCGGAGUGGACGCAUCACUGGUGUUCGGGUUGUCAUGCCAAUGGCACUGCCCGGUAGCUAAAUGCGGAAGAGAUAAGUGCU
rnacentral:rRNA from 1 species